AGAGUUUGAUCAUGGCUCAGAUUGAACGCUGGCGGCAUGCCUUACACAUGCAAGUCGAACGGACUCUUCGGAGUUAGUGGCGGACGGGUGAGUAACACGUGGGAACGUGCCUUUAGGUUCGGAAUAAGCUCGGGAAACUGGGUCUAAUACCGAAUGUGCCCUUCGGGGGAAAGAUUUAUCGCCUUUAGAGCGGCCCGCGUCUGAUUAGCUAGUUGGUGGUGUAAUGGACCACCAAGGCGACGAUCAGUAGCUGGUCUGAGAGGAUGACCAGCCACAUUGGGACUGAGACACGGCCCAAACUCCUACGGGAGGCAGCAGUGGGGAAUCUUGCGCAAUGGGCGAAAGCCUGACGCAGCCAUGCCGCGUGUAUGAUGAAGGUCUUAGGAUUGUAAAAUACUUUCACCGGUGAAGAUAAUGACUGUAGCCGGAGAAGAAGCCCCGGCUAACUUCGUGCCAGCAGCCGCGGUAAUACGAAGGGGGCUAGCGUUGCUCGGAAUUACUGGGCGGAAAGGGAGCGUAGGCGGACAUUUAAGUCAGGGGUGAAAUCCCAGAGCUCAACUCUGGAACUGCCUUUGAUACUGGAUGUCUUGAGUGUGAGAGAGGUAUGUGGAACUCCGAGUGUAGAGGUGAAAUUCGUAGAUAUUCGGAAGAACACCAGUGGCGAAGGCGACAUACUGGCUCAUUACUGACGCUGAGGCUCGAAAGCGUGGGGAGCAAACGGGAUUAGAUACCCCGGUAGUCC
rnacentral:rRNA from 1 species